rnacentral:rRNA from 1 species
AGUGAACGCUGGCUUUCUUCCUAACACAUGCAAGUCGAACGGCAGCACAGUAAGAGCUUGCUCUUACGGGUGGCGAGUGGCGGACGGGUGAGGAAUACAUCGGAAUCUACUUUUUCGUGGGGGAUAACGUAGGGAAACUUACGCUAAUACCGCAUACGACCUACGGGUGAAAGCAGGGGAUCUUCGGACCUUGCGCGAUUGAAUGAGCCGAUGUCGGAUUAGCUAGUUGGCGGGGUAAAGGCCCACCAAGGCGACGAUCCGUAGCUGGUCUGAGAGGAUGAUCAGCCACACUGGAACUGAGACACGGUCCAGACUCCUACGGGAGGCAGCAGUGGGGAAUAUUGGACAAAGGGCGCAAGCCUGAUCCAGCCAUACCGCGUGGGUGAAGAAGGCCUUCGGGUUGUAAAGCCCUUUUGUUGGGAAAGAAAAGCAGCAGGUUAAUACCCCGCUGUUCUGACGGUACCCAAAGAAUAAGCACCGGCUAACUUCGUG